UACGAAGGGGGCGAGCGUUGUUCGGAUUUACUGGGCGUAAAGGGCGCGUAGGCGGCCCUCCUAGUCGCGUGUGAAAGCCCCGGGCUCAACCUGGGAAUUGCAUUCGAGACUGAAUAGCUAGGGUACGGUAGAGGGAAGUGGAAUUUCCGGUGUAGCGGUGAAAUGCGUAGAUAUCGGAAGGAACAUCAGUGGCGAAAGCGACUUCCUGGACCAGUACCGACGUUCAGGCACGAAAGCGUGGGGAGCAAACAGG
rnacentral:rRNA from 1 species